rnacentral:rRNA from 1 species
AUUGAACGCUGGCGGCAAGCCUAACACAUGCAAGUCGAACGAGUGGCGGACGGGUGAGUAAUGUCUGGGAAACUGCCUGCUGGAGGGGGAUAACUACUGGAAACGGUAGCUAAUACCGCAUACCAUCGGAUGUGCCCAGAUGGGAUUAGCUAGUAGGUGGGGGAAAGGCUCACCUAGGCGACGACCCCUAGAUGGUAGGGGAGGAUGACCAGCAAAACUGGACCGGAGAUACGGGCCAGACUCCUACGGUAGGCAGCAGUGGGGAAUAUUGCACAAUGGGCGCAAGCCUGAUGCAGCAAUGCCGCGUGUAUGAAGAAGGCCGUCGGGUUGUAAAGUACUUUCAGCGGGGAGGCGUUACCCGCAGAAGAAGCACCGGCUAACUCCGUGCCAGCAGCGGCGGUAAUUC